UAGUCUAAAACGUUCAGGGCACAGUCGUUUUGUAUGAAUUCGUAAAAAGUCACUUUUCAGCUGAGAUCGAAUAAAUAUUAAAUAUUGCUUGUGGAUAUUAAAACAGCAACGCAGCUGAUAAACUGACCCAAGACAACAAAGACUGAUGGGACUCGCCAAUUCGAACUUCCACGCAGUGGCACAGACGCUUUUCAUUUUUGUAUCGCUUCAAGGAAGCAGAGGCUGGAAUAUAUUUUUAUCUACACGUUAGAAAUCGAUCGAGAAACUUCAUUGUAGAAAGUACCGCAUAAACCGUUAUUUUAUUACACGUUUUUUACGACUAGGGCUUCCAACGCAUUGUACACAAGGCUAUACAAGCAAUAAAGGUUCCAUGAUGAUUAUUUAAUAAUAAAACUCCUAAUUUACUUGAGACGUCGAGGGUAUCGCUUCGAGAUUGUGCACGGUCUUCGACGUAAGCGACUUUGUUUGUCAAUUAAUCUGCAAACGAUUCGAUGAUUGAUGCUUGAGUGACUUGAAACACUAGUAGUCGGUACAAGCAUUAUUGUUUAGAAUAGUAUUCUUAUUGUUCUAAAUUAUAUAUUUGCAGAGGAUCUUCGCCAGGAAGAAACACAUACUACUCUAAAUAAUAAUGGCUACUUGUGUUUGUAGUUUAAGUCAUAGAUUCGCAACGAAGAGUAUACAACGGUAACGCUCGUACUGCUAGCGCUGUAUCGUUUCUCAAUCGUUUCUUUAGCCUGAAGCGCUAACCACCGUGAAACGCUUCUCCUUUUCCAGUUUUGCUGAAGAAGUGGACCUGUUUUCAAUGCGGGAAACGGUACCUCUGGCGGGGUUCCCUGCAGAAUCACAUCCGCGUGGAAUGCGGCAAAGAGCCUGCUUUCAAGUGUUCUAUUUGCGGCAGGAAGUUCAAGCACAAACAUCGCUGGAUGUCGCACGCCAAAUGCGUGCACGGUAUUAACUUCUAACGACGUGUACGUCGCGACGUCGACAACAUCCUCGGCUAGGUUUAAUCAUCUACUUUCCACGCGAAAGAAACCUGCAUUGCGUUAGAAAAAGCUGUGUCGGUGCUUGCUUGUACGACGUUCAAUCCCUUCGCCACACCUCUGCCAAAUUUUGUUCGCUAUUCGCAAUAUUUCCUUGUUUCAUUUGUUUUUACGCGUUACCAUUUUAGUCCCUAAGAAUGGUUCCGUUUAAUUAUCCAGCAACUACAUAGCUCGAUAGCGAAUGAGAUCAACCGAUCAAUUUUUCAAAACUCAACGAAUCGCGAAGACACACGUCGCAUUCUUUCCUUGCUGUAUGUAAACGUGUGCCACGAGAAAUCUCAGAAUAUAGUUUGAAGUAAAAAGAGAACACUUCGUAUCCCUUUCUUCCUUGUGCGAUUGCGAAACCGUCCAGUGUGUGCAUGCAUCGUACGUAACCAACUCCGCGUUUCCAAUUAUGUUUUGUCGAGUAUCAAGACACGUCCACGCCUCGAAGCCACAGUUUCGCGCGUAAAUUCGCGAAAUGUCCCCAUUAACGACUGGAUUUCUCUUUGCAGACAACGCGAGGAAACUGUGGUGGUGUUUCCAGUGCGGCAAGCAAUACAUGUGGAGGGACUCGCUGAAGAAGCACCUUCGAGUCGAGUGCGGCAAGGAUCCCACUUUCCAGUGUCCGGUUUGUGGGAGAAAGUUCAAGCACAAACACCGCUGGCAAUCGCACGCUAGAUUGAUUCACUGUAUCAGCAUAUGACUGACUGACCGAGGAGACCGCAUAAUUUAGCUAGCCGCCAUGAUUCGUUAACGAACUGUCAACUGCGUGUAAAUAACUUGCAUCCCGAGAUCUAAUUCAGACAUAUCGAUUGAACGCCAGACUGAUCAAUUGUGUCAAUGCCAAAGAUAACAUACCAGACUUCAAGUUUGUCGUCGUAAAGGUGGCCUGUCCGAGCUGCGAAAAGUUUUUCAAAAAUCAUUAUCAGCUUCGAUUGCACCAACAGCAAGCACACUCGCAAAAGCGCUUAAUGGAUUGUUACUUUUGCGAGGAGAGCUUCACAAUGAAAAAAUCCUUGUUGGCACAUAUGGCAUCUGCGCAUCCAUAUCCUAAAUUGGGAACUAAACCAUUGAAUCCCUUGAAACCCUGGUGGUGCUUCCAAUGCGGUAGGCAAUACGUGUGGAGGGGCUCGUUGAAGAAUCACCUUCGAAUAGAGUGCGGCAAGGAACCCACUUUUUCGUGUCCGGUUUGUGGGAGAAGGUUCUUGUACCAAUAUCGCUGUAAAUCGCACGCUAGAUUGAUUCACGGUAUCAACAUAUGACUGACCGAGGUGUCCACAUAAUUUAACUAAUCGCCAUGAUUCGUUGACGAACUGUCAACGCCCGUAGGUGACUUGCCUUCAUCCCAAAAUUUAAUUCCCACGUGUCGUUUGAACGCUACACUGAUCCAUUGUGUAAAUGUCAAAAAUGUUUCAAAAGUUCAUGGCUUCGAGCAAAAACAAAUUAUUUUUAAGCAUUCCGUUAUAUUUUGUUUUUUUUUUUGCAUAUCCAUACUUUCACCUCGCCUGUUCCAAAAACGAGAAUAAUUAUGUUGCAAUUGGUACUUGUUUAAAGAAAAUAAAUAAACGUUGUAUUGAUUCUGA